rnacentral:lncRNA from 1 species
AUGCCAAAAGUCGGAAAGGUGAGGUGCUCAAUGAAAGCCAACACUGGAUCGCAAAAGGGCAGCACCAAGGUGGAUAUGGGAGCAUCAUUGAUGGCUGCUGCUACUGCUGCAGCCAUGUCGAGCCCUGCAGCCAUGGCACUAGUUGAUGAAAGAUUGAGCACGGAAGGAACUGGACUUCCAUUUGGCUUGAGCAACAACCUUCUUGGUUGGAUCCUUUUGGGCAUGUUUGGUUUGAUUUGGUCGCUUUACUUUGUUUACACCUCCGGCCUUGAUGAGGACGAGGAAUCUGGUUUAUCCCUGUAAGCUAAAAUUGUACACCUCUUUGAAAUCGGCAACCAUGUAAAACCAGUACAUUAUUAAGUUUCAUUUGAUUGUACUCUACUUUUUCCUCUUCUUACAGUUCCACACUUAUGUUGUGUUUGGUUGGGGAGAGUGGAAUGGAAUGAAUAAAAAUACAUGAAACUAAAUAGAGAUAGGAAGAAAGUUUUGAAAUAAAAUUGAAGGAGUGCAAAAUUGCUAUGAUGAGUUUUGAGAAGAAAUUGAGGAUGGGAGAGAAUGGAGCAUUCCAUCUAAGGUGUGAUAUUUAGCAAAUGAGGUAAGGAAUGGAAUGGAGGAAGGAAUGGAAUUUCUUAAUAAUUAUUCAUAAUAUAGUUCAUUUUUCAUUACAUUCCUUCCAGAAUCAUUCACCCCAACCAAACACAACAUUAAUUUUCACUUUGAUUCAUUAAGUAGCCGCGUGUUCUGAUUAUUAAAAAGGCAUGCUGCUCGACAAGUCACUACUUGUAUAGGUUCAAUAUGUUCCUUAGGAAUGAAUGCAUAGCCUAAGAUCAUCCCAUGAGCAAUAGUUACGACCAAAAAAAAAAAUUGGGUUAUAAGAUCCGCCGAAGUGGAAAGCCUUAACCGGAUGUGUGGUAACAGGUAAUGCUCAAGAGAGCAGUUCCCGUCCCUGUCAGGGGAGAUGCCAACCAUCUCUCCUUUCUACGAACACAAACUUGACAGGAGAAUUGAGUUCAUAUUUCAAGCAAGCAGGGUUGUUGAUGUUCCCGAUGUGGGAUAAUAACUGAAGUGAAUAUACACAUAUAAAGAUAUUGUAAUACUAUGCAUUAGUUCUACUCAAAAGAUUACAAUAAGCUAUAUAUCUGAUCUGUAAUGUCAUGUAACAGUAUGAGGUGAAAACUUAUUUUUGUUGAAAAGCUUCGACGGAGUUGAAGAAAUUUUUUGACUUUCUCGCUCUGAAGUUCCUCUUCUAUUGUUGUGAUUAUAUAUCUGCAUUUUGUUGAUGACAUAGUGAUAUAUGUUUCCAGGCCGGAUAAAGAACUGAUUUCUUGUAUUAUUACUCUUAACGGAGCAUCUGAAUAUAGAAAUUAAUAUGGCAUGUAUAUGUGAAGCUAUCUGUCAAUACAAGAACAUGAAGUUAGAAGAUAGAGUUAAAGUACAGUGUCACAUUAGAUCGGGAACACACCAGGAUAAGUUCGAACAAAAUUGAGCUAUUGAUCGCCUAGUUCAGAAGUUAAAUGUGCUACUAACCUGUCUUGAACAAAUUUCAGGAUAAAAGUAUUUGAUCAAGGGUCUAAUGUAUCACAAUUAAAUUGAUAUAACGUCCAGCAAAUUAUUUUUUUAAACAUGCUAUACUCUUAAAAUUAUGAAAAGUACUGGUUUCAAGAGUCCAAAAUACCUCACUUAUACAUGAACCCUUUAAUUAAUACUCUUUAAAGUGAUAACCGAUUCCAAGAGUUCGAAUAAAGUAUUCCUCUCUGAUGAAACAUGACUACAUGAUUAACAUCUUAUGUUGUCCGUGGACCCUAAAAGCUUGGAGUCCUAGUGAGGGUUUUUCUUCAAGUUGGGUUGGCAUCCCUGUUCUGUAUAGUCUGUCUUCAUAUGCACCCUCCCUCUCCUACCAAGCGCAGUUUAACAGACGAUUAGUUUUGUUUUCAUAUAUGUCCUCUUUCAGUCUAUUCUCAUGUGCCCUUAAUCAACCACGCGUGUGUAACCAACGACUUAUCUGGCAAACGCCAAAAAGACUACAUAUUAGGACUAAACAUAAGUCUAAGUUGAAACUUAUUAUCUUUCUUUUUAUGAUAAUGCAGUUCUUCAACAACUUAUCUGGCAAACGCCAAAAAGACUACAUAUUUGGACUAAACAUAAAUCUAAGUUGAAACUUAUUAUCUCCAUGUGACUAACUAGCUUCACUUUUAUCUCUCUCUCAAGUAUUAGCUACUUCUCUCCAUAUUCUGCCUUUCCGGCUCCUGCCAUAUGUGUUUUUGGCAUUGCCUUUAGGGCUCUAGGUUGCAGGCUUACCAUAUGUGUUUUUGGCAUUGCCUUUAGGGCUCUAGGUUGCAGGCUUACCAUAUGUGUUUUUGGCAUUGCCUUUAGGGCUCUAGGUUGCAGGCUUACCAUAUGUGUUUUUGGCAUUGCCUUUAGGGCUCUAGGUUGCAGGCUUAUGGUAAACUUUCUGUGCUCCAUAUCAGUCUGCAUACUAUUUGUAUCACUAUCAAAUUUCUGAUGUAUAAUCUUCUACUUGGCUUAACAAGCAAAGGGCUAUAUCAGUAACGAAGUAAAACCACAACACUAUCAAACAGAACUCUUUACUUAAUUUGGUGGGGUGCGCCAGGCCAAGACAGUAGUGCAACACCAAGGCGACGCAUGAAGCCCCCAAUAGCAAGCUAUUGUGACAGGACUUCCCCUCGAAAAAUAAAUUUAUUGUGACAGGACUUCCCCUCGAAAAAUAAAUUUAAUAUCGUGUGGACUUAUAACCCACAUAUCAGAUAUUAAACUUGGUAACUAUAAAGACAUAUCUGGGGAAUCGACACUAAAAAAUAUGCUGUGAUCACCUGGGAAAACAACACUAAAAAUUAUAACAAUAACAAGGAGGCUAUGUAAAAAUGCUCACUAACGUUUUCACUGGAGUUGUGGGGACUGCGCGAACGCAAUUCCCCCUGUCACAAAUUAUGAUGUAGACUCCACCACUUAAAUAGAUCUUAGGCGAGCACCCCUCACAAGUGCAAUGGAGGUUACUAACCUAGGCCAUGGACCUUCUUGAUCAUCUAUGACCCCAUCCAGGUAAGUAAUUUGUAGUGUUGCCCCCUUGUCCUAUUUUAUGCUCCGCUUCCAAUGCCCUGUUCUCAGUCCCCUCGAUGUGGUACGCUAUCUUUCCCUUACCCCUUACCUUCUUGGAAUUGUACCCUUCAAGUAAAAUAUUAAAUAAAUUAUAGUGGCACAAAAUAAAUGUUAUGUUUGAGUAAUUUUUUACUUUAGAUAAUUUAUGAUUUAUCAGAUUUUUUUGAUAAAUUUAUAAAUUCACAGAAAUAAAUUAUAUUUUUCCAAAAUUUACCUGUUGCUAACUUAUUUCAUUAAAUUAGCAUAUAUUUUAUUUUAAUUUUAUGUUGAUUCCUUAUUUUUAACACAAACUAAUAUUUUUAAAUUAAAAUAGAAAAUAUCUUCACAGAUCGAUUUUUAAGGGUCAUUUGUUAAAUCUGAACAAAUAUUUCUAGAUGAUUGAAACUUUUGAAUGAUAACUAAUCUGAACGAAAACUAUAAUAUUAUUUGUUAAAUAUUUUUUGAAAAGUUAUGAAUAUAAACUUAUAUAAUUUUCAAAAUUUAAGUGUUUCACUUUAUUAAAUUUAGUUAUUUAUGACUAUCAACCAUUAUUAUGUGUAUUAUUAAAUUUUUAUAAUUAAGAUAUAAAUUAUGAUGGAAAAAUAAAAAAUAUUCAAUUUUAAAAUUUUUCAAAAUUUAAGGGAUUCAUAUUCUAGUGUUUCCCUCUAUUAAAUUUAGUUUACUUAUGACUAUCAAUCAUUAUUAUAUGUUGUAUUAAAUUUUUAUAAUUAUUGUAUAAAUUAUGAUGGCAAAAUAAAAAAUAUUCAUUUAAAACUUUUUGUUAAUAAUAAAAACUGUUUGUGCUAUUAUUGCAAAUAAUAUUUGUUGUAAGAAGUGAGUCUAGCGAAAUUCAUCAAACAGCCUUGAGCGAUAAAAUGGAUUGUCUGUUCAGUUUGGGAUGGUUCACUCGUUAACAAAUGAGCCCUUAAAAUCCAUGCUAAAAGUCUUCUUCAUACACCAAUCUUUUUUUUCUUUUUUUUUGAGUAAAUCAUACACCAAUCUUAAGGUCCAUACAAAGUGAUCCAAUCAAUCUUUUCUGCUUCGACAGUAAAAAUCUCGUAUUUGUUUUGUUUCUUAAAUUUCACUUCGGCAACAUAAUUUUUCUAACUUGAUUCAUUUUUGUUGUUAUCAAAUUAUUUAAUCUUAUUCAUUUUCCCAUUGAUCGGUUUAAGAUUUUAAUAUUUGUGUUGUUUAGUUAUUAUUUUGUGGUGUUCUUGUUCCCAUUAAUCGACUUAAGUAUUAUGUUUCAAGACAGAUUUUAAUCAGCACUCUGAAACAAUACAUUACGGUGCCACACUCGACAUAAUCAUCUUAUUAAAAAACUAGUGAAUAAAGCCGCGCUUCGCGGCGGCGUUAUGAUUUUUUUUAUAAAUUUUGAUAAAAAUUAAUAUUAUAAUUGCAUAAAAGUUAUUUUGAACAUAUUAUUAAUAAAGAAAAUAUUAUACUAAAAUACCUAAUUUCUGUUCUACUGGUGUUGAAACGAAAGCCGGAUCACAAAAGGAAGCUCAAACGGGGACAUGGGAGCAUCAUGAUCUGAAAUGAAAGCCGAUCACUGGAUCACAAAGGGAAGCUCCAAUGGGGACAUGGGAGCAUCAUGAUCGCUGACAGUCAUGGCAGGAAUUGGACUAAAAAACAUUUGGCUUGAGCAAUAAGCUUAGAAUUGAAAACUGGACUUCCAUUUGGCUUGACUCUUUGUUGGAUCCUCAUUGGUAUGUUAUAUAUGUUUAAUGAGGAAUUAGUUAAAUUUGUGCAAAACGUAAAACCAUUACGUUUUCUUGUGUUCCUAGACUGCAAAAUUUGAAUGAUCCUACUUUGCUACCAAAUCAUAAGGAAACACAACAAAAAAUUAGACUUUGAUUUGGUGGGGUGCGCCAGGCCAAGGCAGUAGUGCAACACCAUGACGACGCUUAAAGCCCCCAAUAGCAAGCUAUAGUGAUAGGACUUUCCCCUCAAAAAAUAAAUUUAAUAUCGUGUGAACCAAUGGUCCACAUAUCAGAUAUUAAACUGAUAAGAACAGAUACUACACUUGAUCUUAGCCAAAAGGCCGAGAAAGGUAUGCUCAAUCCUUUGGUGUGAUCGUGUUUAAAUAGUUCAGCUCUUGUACCUCUAACCUAUUUCUCUCGAUGUGGUACCCGGGACUUGCAUACUAAAAAACACCUUUUAUAUCUUAGUAUAACUAUGUUCUCGUUCGAACAUAGCACUUAUUAUAAUAUUAUGUUCUCGUUCAACUGUAAUAACGCUCUUCAUUUGGGGGAACACAAAACAAUUAAAACAAUAGUAAUAAAGUAAGGCUAAUGUUUUCACUAGAAUUGCGGGGACUGCGCGAACGCAAGUCCCCCUGUCACAAAUUAUGAUGUAGACUCCACCACUUGGGUAGAUCUUAGGCGAGCACCCCUCCUCAGUGCAAUGGAGGUCACUAACCUAGGCCAUGGACCUUCUUGAUCAUCCAUUGACCCCAUCCAGGUAAGUAAUUUGGAACGAUGCCCCUUUGUCCUCAUUUAUGCUCUGCUGCUAAUGCUCUGUUCUCCUCCCCCUCGAUGUGGUACGCUAUCUUCUCCUUACCCGUUACCUUUUUGGAAUUGUACCCUUCAAGUUAAAUAAACUAUGGUGGCACAAAAUAAAUGUUAUGUUUGAGUUUUUUUUUUAAUUUUAGAUAAUUUAUGACUUAUCAGAAAGUUUUUGGAUAAAUUAUCCAUUUUUUAAUAAUAAUUUUUAUCAUAUAAAUUCACAAAAAUGAAUUUUACUUUUCCAAAAUUUACCUCUUGCUAACUUAUUUCUAUAAAUUAGUACAUAUCUUAUUUUUAAUUUUAUGUUGAUUCUUUAUAUAUAACACAAACUACUAUCUUUUAAAUUAAAACAAAAAAUAUCUUCACACAUCGACUCCUAAAAUCCAUGCCAAAAGUCUUCUUCAUGCACCAAUCUUAAGGUCCAUACAAAGUGUUCCAAUUAAUCUUUUCUGCUUCAACAGUAAAAAUCUAGUAUCUGUUUUAUUGCUUAAAUUUCACUUCGGCAACAUAAUCUGACUAACUUGAUUCAUUUUUGUUGUUAUCAAAUUAUUUAAGCUUAUUCAUUUUCCCAUUGAUCGGUUUAAGAUUUUUGUAUUUGUGUUGUUUAAUUAUUAGUUUGUGUUGUUCUUGUUCCCAUUAAUCGACUUAGGGGGCGUUUGAGUGAGUUUAAAAUAAGUGCUUUUUGUUUUGAAUAAAUAAGUGGAGUAGAAGUUAGAAGUAAGAUAAGACUUAUAAGUGAUUAAGUGUUUAUGAAAUAAGUAGAAGUCAUGAAACAAAAACUAACAUUCCUAGCUUUCUAUAAGUGCUUUUUGACUUAUAACACAAACGGUACAAAUAAGUGUUUCUAAUUUAUAAUCUCAGAAAUUGGACUUAUAAGUGUCAAACAAACACCCAGUUAGUAUUAUGUUUCAAGACAGAUUUUAAUCAGCACCGUGGAAUAAUACAUUACGAGACAUACAUUACGGUGCGGCAGAAUCAUCUUAUUAAGAACGGUUUUUCUAUGGUGUGCCCAUGGGCACACACUAAGCACCAAAUUUUAUGAAUUUGGAUGGUUUCUAUUGGCUUAGCUUCUUUAAUAAUGGUGGACCUCCCUGCAGUUGCAACAACCACACCAAUCAAAACUCUCCAAUUUUAUAAAUGUUAGUGCUUAGCAUGUGCCCAUGGGCACACACUAACCAAACCCUAUUAAGAAAUAUUUAACAUUAUACCCACUCGUUCAAUUGGUCCGGUUAAACUACUACUAAUUCUCCUCAUUCAGCAAGUGACUUAUCUUAUCAACAUAUUAUUUGUUAAAAUUAAAAUAUUAUCUACGAAACUUAAAAACUAACCUAAAUAUUUGUUAGACAUCCAUGCGUUCUAUUAUAUAAUGUAGAAUACAUUUUACAUAAAAUGUGGAAUACAUUUUGCACAAGUAAUAGAAAUUUGUUUGAUAUCGAGCUUGUUUGUCCUAACUUAAAGUGGUAUUCAACUAAACUGAAGAAUGUAUGUUUAUAUAAUAAAUCAGAAACCAGCUUAAAGUCGGGAAUAAGGCAGAAGCUGAUUUAAAACCAGAAGUUAGUUUCAUACACUUUUUUAGUAAUUUAAUUUUUUUGAACUUGACUUUUUAAUAAAAAUCACCCACAAGUCAUAAAUUACUCAUAAAACACUUUUAUUUUUAUUAUUAUACUUUUAAUAACCCCAUAAGCCGUUAAUAAAUCAAAAUUACCCAAACAAACAUUUUAAACAACCCACUUAUGAUAAGUCACGUUAAGUUAUAAGUCAUAAAUUCCGUUAAACAGGCUCAUUAUCAAUGUAGACAUACAUAAUUAUUUUAACCUUUGUCAUCAUUAUGGAUUUUAGGUUUUGUUCUAAAAUCGAUGAUUAAUUAUGAUUAGUCAACUAUUAAUUUGGUUCGGUACCACGUUGAAUUUGAUUAAAUCUCCGACUAGUAAUUGAUCAAUUCGAUUAAUCCACAAUCAAUUUCAUUAAUCUCCGAUUAACUUUUGUUGCGUGUUUUCAACAAUUAAUCUCAUUCCCACUUUUUGGAACACUCAUUUUAGGUGGUCUCGUUAACUUAUAAAACUUAAUCCCCCAAGUUUGGCAUUCUUCCAACUUAAAAGAGAAUGAGGGAUAACAAAACCAGCGGUCCCCGUGCAAAAUCGGAGGGAGGAAAACACCACAAAAUCCCCGCUGAUCAACUAACCUAGAUUCUCGCUCCCAGUAAGACUAACUUAACUUUCUUUCUUACUUCCGAGUGCCUUGUAUACAUAGUUUUUUAUUUGAGACUGCUGAGUAAGUGAAACACUUGACUUUCCUUUUCAGGAUCAGGUUAUUCAUAAUGCUUUAAUUAGGUUUUCAUUGCAGUUUAUUCAAGUCAUCGAUAUUUUGAUUUAAUACAAGCUGGCCUACUAGGGUUCAUGUGUCAUGGCUCGAAAGCUAGGAUUAGUUAUUUUUCGGGUUUUUAAAUCGGAUAAGAAAAACAAUUUUAAAGAGACAAGAGAAACGACAGUUCCUAAUUUGUAAGCAAGAUGUGUGCUCCGACCCCUUAUACAGCCCCAAUACUAGUACAGGACAGUCGGUUAAUGUAAUAAUUUGAUUAGCAAUUAGCAAGGAAUCAGCUUUGUUAUUAUAGAUGCUGAUGAACCGAUUUACCUGCCAAAUGAUGAAAUAAUUAAAACAUGACAUCAUGGACAUUUUGUCGAGUUCUUUCCAACUAAAACUCAACUAUGUCCUUUUACUCCAAGGGUUAGUUAGAUUUGUGUGCUUUGUUUUUUAGUUGCUGUAUCUAUCUGAUUCACAAACUCAUAUAUAAAAUUUCCGAUGCCAUAUUGCAUUGAGUUUCUUCUUCUAGUUUGAGCUUGUUCAGUUUGUAGUUUGGGGCUUGAGCUAUCUUCAUUCAGCUUUCAAAUUAAGUAUAUAGCCACCUAUAUUAUAGUUUAUUGAGUUUGGCUCAACUAUUUGUGCUCAUGGAAGUCUUGUUGAGUUCUUAUAAGCCCCUAUAAGUGUCAAGUGACCCAAAUCAUAGUAACACUAGAACAGUAGAACUCCUUAAUAUGGGUAGAAGCCUCCAACUGUAUCAUUCCACAUAAUCUAAAGGACAUGAAGUGCAGAGGAGCAUGAUGAUUCUUUUUGUUACAUCAUAAUAUGCACUGUUGCCCCCCUCUCUCCCUCCCUCUCUUUUCUUUUCACAUGUUUAUUUUUAACAACUUUUACAAGUUCCACAUAGUAUAAACAUUGGCAGAGCCAAGCAUAGGAAGGUAGGUUCACAGGACCCAACUACGUUCUUAGACUUCCUUAUUUGUUUUAUCGAAUUUUCUAAUGUGUGCAAGGUCACAAAAUAAGCGCCAACUCCUGCGAGCUUGAUGCAUUUUUAUUGGUCUUGUAAUCAUAAAUAUGGAUGGACCCUCCUGCAUUCACACCAAUAGAAAUGCACCAAACUCAUCAAAUUUAGUGUUUAUUGUGUGUCAUUGGGCACACAUUAGAAAGACCAUUGUUUUAUAUAUCAUGCAUGGUAUUUGCAGGUAUGGUAUAGCUAGUGUUGCUCUUCCUACAGCUAUCUGAGGACAAUCUUGAUUAUAUAUCCAAUGUUAUAUGAGGUAACGACCCUGAAAGUUAUUUUAUAUUUUAAAAUGGUGAGAGCAGUUAGUUUGAAGCCUUAAAGAAAUGCAAUUAUUUUAUUUUAGCUUUUUUAGAUGCCUAAUUUAUGUAGUAAUGCUUAGUUUUCAAUAAAAGUAAUCAGUCUUCAUAGAUUCUUCUUUUCUUUUAAUGUCUUUUUUUACAUAUUUGUUUUGCAGCAUUACUUUCGUGGUCGUAAAAGCCUCCAUAUCUAAAUGGUCGCAGAAAAAUUUGUCCCCGCUUGGUCAGGACUCUGACUUUGUCUCUGGUGACAUAUACUUCUUCUAGUCAUCUAUAUUAUGUUAGUGCAGUUGCCGUCAAAGUUAGCUUGAAGGUACCCUGAUGGGUUAAGGUCAAGGUACGUGUUAAAGCCUUACAUUUAUACCACAAUUGGCCUCGCUGCCUGCAUCACAAUUUCAUGCUAAUUAGUGAGACACCAUUCAGUAGAAGAUUGUCUACUAUUAAAUAACAUAAGCUUGGUUACAUUCCUUCGCUUGAUUCUUCUUUAUAAACUAUAACUUCCUUCUCAUCUGACUCCAAUGCUGCUGUUUGAAGAAUUUCAUUUUUUGUGUUAUAUCUGAAAGUAACCAUCUCUCUAGCAAGUAGCAUCCUAUUUUUUUACAUAUAUAUGGUAAGGGAUAAGUUCUUCAUUAGAUAAACGUAGUUGACCUAAUUUUACUGGAUAAGCAAAGAUGACAGGUGAUUAAGCUAGUUAAUGUGGAAUUAGAAUAUAGUAAAUACUCUUUCCUGCAUAUGUAGGAGAGCUUGUGGAUGAGGAGGAAGGGAAUUUUGUGUUGACUGUUGAGUACUUUUGUGUUCAUAAAUGUUGUUGAGAUUCAGAGGCGAUAAAAACAACAAUGCACAACUUUAAUUAUGCAGGAAUCACAACUUCACUCUAGAUUCCAACAUGCAAAUGCUACAAUCAGUUUCAAUUAUGAUGUUUAACUGUCUUUUAUUCUUGAUAUUGUACUAAAGAACUGUCCACUUGUGUUUUAUACUUUGAGUAUUCUAUUGUACCCUGUCAAGGUAUUGAAAUCAGUUUUGUAAACACACUGUUUAGUUGGUAUAUGGAGAAGGAUUAGUAGUUUUUUUACUCCUAAUGUUGGAAUGUAUGUGAAUAGUAUAUGGAUCUCAACAAGAACCCUAAGCGGAACAACAAGUUCCAGAUCUUUUUUUAACAAAAUAAGUACCAGAUUGAAAGAAAAGAAAACUGGUCUCAGGAAUUUAUUGAACUUGUUAAGGCUUGUAUUUCACGACCUUACUUGAACAGGAUCUGUUCUAUAGGCUCGUACCUCUGUAUCCUUGAUUUCUAAGGAGGCAGGUGACCAAGUCUGGUGGAUGAACAAUGACUGCAUGACCAGAGCGUGAUUAACAGCCCUGUGACCUUGUUUGGUCAUAUGAGCCGUAGAGGAUCGUUCUUAGCCAGAUUCUGGUUGGGGUGGUCAUGCAGUUGUCUGACAGACCAAAAAAUUUUUUUAUCCCGUUCUAGUGCCAUUCUUUUCCUAUCCACAGACUGUGUCAUUGUUUAUAAUCUUUCAUUUUUUAUCCCUUCCUACUGCCAUUCUUUUCUUAGUCCAGAGAUUGUGUCAUUGUUUAUAAUCUUUCAUGAACAUCAUGUUAGCACAACUUUUACAUGCUUUUGCUUUUCACAGUACACUAGUUAAGUAGUUAUAUCUGGAUGUGUUUGACAAACAUUACAAUGGGAGUGAUAUAGUUGCUAUGAAAAAUUAGUAGGAUUAGGUAGAAUUUGAGCAAAAAAGAUAUGACUAAAAAGUAAAGCUCAGAGCAACAUUUUCUUUUCUGAAUGUGUGUUCAGAAAUGGCAGCGGACCCAUCCAACUGCAAUUAUAUUGCUUGUUUCAUCACUGCUUUGCACCAGCCGGGAAUUGAACCCGGGUCUGUACCGUGGCAGGGUACUAUUCUACCACUAGACCACUGGUGCUUUGUGUGUAAAUGUGUUUUUAGUAGCUACAUAUACACAAUUUCUUAAAAUAAUGAAACAGUACAGAGACACUAAGAAAUUAAAUUAACUUAUUUAGUAUUUUUUUCCAGUUUAUCAGGUCUGCUAGGUCUUGCUCACUUGUUAUGUAGUCUUGAGUGUCUGUUUAGCUAUUAUUUAUUUAGAGACUUACCCCAGUUACUAAAUGCAUAGCUACUUAUAGUGUAACAGAAGAGUUUACAACAUUUGAAAGAGUAAUAUCAAUGAUUCUCUCAUCCAAACCCUUCACAUCUUUGAUGUUUAGUCUGGCAACAACCAACUCACAGAAAUGUUUCUCAGUGUGAAGACAUGUAAUUGAUUUUUUAACUGUUGGUGCACACGCCUGACUGAUUUUGCAUUUCCUAGCAAUUCGAAGAUAUCACAUGCACUACGAUAUUUAUGAAAAUUAUAUUGACCUCCCAAUUACUAGUUGUUCUGAUGGGGAUUUGAGGGGAAUUUUAGUGAUGUUGCAUUGCCAUCCAUACUCGAGAUUUGGACCAUUUGGUCUUUGUAUGCAGUCGCAGACUCUCAAUUCUUAAUUAAGUAGUGAUUUGUUACCAUUAUAUAGUUUAACUUUACAAUGCUAUAAUCGUUCCUCACAAAUAACUUCUUGUAGAGAGGCUAUCUGAGCUCUCAAGGAUCACAGCCACCUAGAAACCUGGCUGGGAUGCUGUUGCUGUUGUUUGAUAGAGCCUACUCCCCCACNCCCCCCACAAACACACACACAUUUUAAUCAACUUCCUCGAUGACAAUAUUUAUUUUUGAAUAUCCGCUCACUUGUACGCAAUACUUAAACAUCUGUGCUUGUAAUAAAUCCAUAUUAGAGUUGAAGUAAAUAGGGUUUUGGUGUUCUGAAUACACGAGUACUAGGCCUUUCAACCUUUAGGACAAUGUAGAUUACAAAUUCAGAUGUUGAUCAUGGUUGUGUAUCAUUUAUUAUCUCUUAUCGAUGACAAUAUCUAUAUUUAUAUAUUAGCUCGUUUGUACGCAAUACUUAAACAUCUGUGCUUGUAAUAAAUCAAUAUUUAGAUGAAGCAAAUAGGUUUUGGAGUUCUGGUUACAUGAGUACUUGGCCUUUCAACCUUUGGGACGAUGUAGAUUAUAAAUUCAGAUGUUGAUCAUGCCUGUAUAUCAUUUGUUAUCUCUUAUCAAAACAGCAGUCUUUUAAAUAGUACAUUUGGUUAUAUCUUGAGUGGUAUAUGUGUUGGUUCACCAUAGUCGUCAAACAAUUUCUCACAAUAGUAUACUUCUACAAACUAAGAAUUUUUUUUCAGAAUUAAGAAUACAAGUAGAGGAUGCUUUUGAGCCUAAAGAAUAACUAUGGGCAACAUAAGAAAACCAUAACAGACAGAAAAUAAAGAAAAGAAGCAGCAUGUUCAUCUUGAAAGUUUGUUCAGAAAUAGCAGAGCGGUCAAGUUCCAUUUUCUGGCAAGUUGAUAUGGGGGGCCUGUACAGCUGCAAUUUAAUUGCCUGUUUCAUCAUUGCUUUGCACCGGAAGGGAAUUGAACCCAUGUCCGGUAUGUCCAGCUAGACCCCUGAUGCUUUGUGUUUAACUUUUCUAUUUAUUAGCUCUAUAUUGACACACUUGUUAAAUUUAUUACAAAAUCAAACAGAAAUGAAAAGCUGAUCUUGCAAUAACAAUUUAUAUAAAUACUUAAUUGUAUAUCUUGUUUUCAAGGCUGGCUGGCCGGGGGUAAUGUAUAUCUACUAGCAGCUACUUGCAUACUUCUUAACUAGCAAUUAUAUGCUCAUUGCUGUUGAGAAUUAAAACAGAUGAAACAAUUUGCUCAUUAGUAAUACAUGUCAUAAAAUAUCACACAUCAUGUUAGUGUAUGGUAUAACACUUGUCAUGUGUCUACUUGUAGUAGUGUUCUUGGAGAGAAUCUGCAACAAUUAGAAAAGCUACUUGUCAUUGUUUAAUCGAUUUUAUUCCAAAAAAAUUUUAAUUAAAAGUUUCAGUUUCUCAUUAUGAAUACCUGUCAUUGAUUAAUUGCUUGCUACUUGCUGCAAUUUACCGAAAUUAUAUUUCAGUUUCGGUUGAUGUCAAAGCACUGCCCCCUUUACUCAUAUUUUAGUCUCAAUAAGCAGCCGCACUUUGUAAAAAGAAUUUAAAAGCAGACCAUCUGUUGAAGGACGAAUUUUGGCUGGACUAUACAUCAGGAAAAUACUAAAUUGGGGAUCUUAAUUCUAAUGUCACUGUAUAGGUAUGAGAUCAUAUCUUAACUGCUUGUCAUGCUGUGUAUGAUGAAGUAUGCGUAAGUUAAUGUUUGUUUGUUCUUUUUGUAUUUUAGGUUGAGUUUAGUACAUAAUUUUGGAAAACCUUGAUAGUUUUGCAGAGUCCACUACUAGUCUACCACUUAGUUUAGUAGACUAAUCAGGCCUAAUGUUUGCAUGCAGGCUCGAGUUAGACUUUUAACUUGAAAAUUGUUUGUCUUGUUUGUUUAAAAUAUAUUAUGCCCGAGGUCAUCUCAAGUUUGGCUUUGAAUUCAAUUAAUUGUGAGCAUUCGUAUGUAAAAUAUUGUUGAGUUCAGCUCAUGUUUGAUUUAACAUAAGCCUAAGUAUUUUUGUUCAUGAGUUUUCAUGAAUAUGUUUGCCCUCAGCUUCUCAUGUCAUAUGCUUACCAGAAUUUUUACCCAUUAUAUUGCAUAUACAUUAGAUAUCCUCCAUGUUGAUUCUCUCCAAAGUGAUAACCCCUCUCUAUUGAUACAGCUUUUGAUCCCCAGUCGGGACUAGUGUUAAAAUUCAACUUCCCCUUUAUCGAGGUAGUUGAUAUGUUUUAAGAAAAUCACAGUAUCUAAUCCUGGUCCCAACUUUUGGAUAAAGUAAUUUUUUCAAAUAUGAUCACUUUUUUAUGCACUUUACGAAUUUGAAAAAUGUUUUAUGAUACUAGUUUGUGCUAUAUUUUGUUGUUCAAUAACUUUAACACCAACCAUUAUCACUUAAUUGUUUUCAAUGAUUUUUUAUGAUAUCUUUAUGUUGUUUUUAUGGCGGAUUUUCACAAACUUAAUUUUUUUUUCGAAUAUGUAUGUAAUGUUUUGACGUGUUAACAUGCAUUAUAUCUCUUUAGAAUGUAAAAACUUAUAUAUAUGGCCAAUAUUAAUUAUUCUAAAGUAUAAAAAUGUAAACCCGUGUUAUGUGAUGAUCUCGUUAAAGUGAUAAUUUUCAUGUCCCAAGGAUAUUAAUAGGAGGGGUUUAGCACUUCUACUUUAAAGAUCUGACAUAAAAUAGGUACUCGGUUUGAUUUUAAACAUUCAUUUGUUUCCGGAGUUGUACUGUGAACUAUCUAGACAUCUUUUUAUACUGUAAGUAUGCUUCUGUAUCUCUGAAUUCGAGGUAUUGAAGUCUGUUUUGCAAACACAGUACUUGUUGGUAGUAUAUGGAGAAGGAUUAGUAGGCUUACCGUUAUUGUUGUAAUGUAUGUGGAGAGUAUACUGAUCUUUAUAAAAAUUCUCUGACUACUUAACGGGUGUCAGGUGAACAGAACACAAAAUCCAGAGACCUCUUACCAGUAGCCCUCUGACCUUGUUGGCCAUAUGAGUCGUAGAGGAUCGUUCUCAGCCAAAUUCUGGUUUUUCUUCUCUUUUUUUCCUUUCCUUUUCAGAGGGGGUCGGCAUGCUGUUUUCUGACGGAUUAUAUUCUUUUUAUCACAUUCCCUUUUGCAUUCAUGUCUGUGUUCUCAGCCAGAUUCUUGUUGAUCUCGUUCCCCCUUUGCAUGAUCAUCAUGUUAGCACAACUCGGACUGUGCUUUUUACAGCUGGUCAUCUCUAGAUGGAUUUAGUGAUGUCCCUCUAGUUCAUUUUCCACCUAAGAAAUGUCUAUGCCCGCACUUCUUGCUAAACAGUCUUGAGAAUGUCUUACAUAUUUAGACGUUGAAACUGAGACAGGUGAACCGGAGAAAAGCAUAGUCCACAAGUACUAUGACUAUGUGAAGGAUUACCCUCAAAGCUGGUACUAGUCCACAAGUACAAUAAAAAGGUACUGUACUCUGUAUCUUGAUUCUGGUGGAUGAAACAUGAUUGCAUGAUUAACAUCUUCUUUCUAUAUAGUAGGGUUUGUCUUGAAGUUGGGUUGACAUAUUUCUUUCUAUAUAGUCUCGUCAUAUGCAGCCUCUACCUUCUAACCGCAGUUUAACAAACACGGUUCAUUGCUCUGUAUGUUCUCUUUUAGUUUCUUGUCAUGUGCUCUUUAGUCUACCACUCGUGUGUAACUCUUUUUUAGAUAAUGCAGUUGAUCAAAAUCGCUUCUUGGACUUAUCUGCCAAAUGCUAAAAAACUACAUCUGACAGAACCUAAAACAUUGAUUAAACUCAUUAUUUCUAUUCAUCAGCAUAAGCUUACUCAUUGUUAGUAACUAGCUUGUUUUGAAGUAUGAAGUUCUUAACUAGUCCUCUCCACUGGUAUUUUGCCUUUUCAACAGUAUGUGUUCACCGCAAAAAAAAUUUGGACCAUUUCUCGAUUUGUGCGUGUCAUCCUUGCGCAGGGGCCAUGCUAAUCUUCUCUGUAUCGUUCCAAUUUUAUCGGAUGUCCCCGAAGGGACAAUGCAAGUGCUGCUGUCAUUGCUAUAUAAAUAUUCGAUUUUCCAUAUUUCAAAUGAUGUGGGAUACUUAAGUUAUAACUUCAACUGAGAUUGAGCUCCAAGAACCUCUGACCAUUUGACUAUAACCCUUUAAUCCAAUACAUUAUUUGCUAACUUGGAAAAUCUUCAAACAGUUUGAAGUUUUGAAAAGCAGUGGAGUAAUUUAACAGAAAUAGCGUUGACACUGUAACUCUGUAAGAUCAUUUGGCAACUAUGUCCUCACAAAGAAGAAAUUGGGUAGAAUUUUCUCAAUUAGGAUGAAAUGCAAUUUCGACAUCUUAGUUUUUCUGCCUGUUCGAUUUCUUUAAGUGUCUGAAUUUUGCGGGGGUGCGUUAGGUCUUCUAAUCCACUUAAGCUCUGUAGUCACCCAAACAGCCAGUACAUUCUGCUGAUGUCAAAGUAUUGCUGCCCAUAAUAUAUCCACAUAAGUCGGUGAUAAGGUCACAUGAUUCGAGCCUCGAUAUGCAGCACCGGUCGACUACAUGAAAAGUGUAGUAUUGCAUGUGUCAAGAUAUUUGUCGAAUUUCAAGUGUUUGCGUAAAAGUUACAUAUUCCAUUUGAUGCCCAUUUAUAUCAAAAUCAAAUGAUUAAGUGUGAUGUAAAUGCUUUUUUUUUUGUAGGAUUAAUAAGGUGAAAAUAAAAUUUACAAAAAAUACAAAUGUGAUUUACCCCAUGACCAAUGGAUUAGCCGUUAAGAUAAUCAAGCACUUAGCUUAAUUUUCUGUAAUACUAAAAUACCUACAUUUGCCGUAAAAUUUGUGCAGGGUUGCCUGUCAUGACAAAAGUUUUCGGAGAACAUUUUUCAUACAAAAUUACUUUUCGACAAGCAAAUAAAACCUUUAGUGAAGAAUUUUUAUGUACUCUACGGCUAAUUAUCUUUCACUAUACUGUGUAAACUUGUAAAAUUUAACAGAUGUUCAAGUAACUCUGUUUAUGUAAUUAUGUAACUCUAUUGUUUCGAGCGCGAUUGAUAGCCUUAAGCGGCAGGUUUAUUCAUUGUUGUCCCGGAACACUCUCCAAGGCAUAUAAGCCUAAGUUGUAAAAAAAACGAUUGCUAAAUUGGCUGGUAUGUGAAAACACUCCUAUAUAUAUUAAAUUGGUUAGCAUACCUCACUAGUGAAUCAAUUAGGAAGCUAAGUGCUAACUAGCAGAUAUUUCUUUUUAAUAAUUGUUAUUGCUAGAUUGUUUUAGUUUCAGUUUUACUAAGUGUUGUACACUUUGUGCAGGAUUGCCAGUCAUGCCAAAAGUCGGAAAGGUGAGGUGCUCAAUGAAAGCCAACACUGAAUUGCAAAAGGGCAGCACGAAGGUGGAUAUGGGAGCAUCAUUGAUGGCUGCUGCUACUGCUGCAGCCAUGUCGAGCCCUGCAGCCAUGGCACUAGUUGAUGAAAGAUUGAGCACGGAAGGAACUGGACUUCCAUUUGGCUUGAGCAACAACCUUCUAGGUUGGAUCCUUUUGGGCAUGUUUGGUUUGAUUUGGUCGCUUUACUUUGUUUACACCUCCGGCCUUGAUGAGGAUGAGGAAUCUGGUUUAUCCCUGUAAGCUAAACUUGUACACCUCUCUGAAAUAGGCAACAAUGUAAAACCAGUACAUUAUGAAGUUUCAUUUGAUUGUACUCUACUUUUUUCUCUUCUUACAGUUCCACGCUUACUUUUCAUUUGAUUCAUUAAUUAGGC